GGUGCUAUAGUGUAGUGGUUAUCACUCGGGAUUUUGACUCGCUCGGGAUAAGUUCCCGAAACCCAGGUUCGAACCCUGGUAGCACCU